rnacentral:rRNA from 1 species
UACGAAGGGGGCUAGCGUUGCUCGGAAUCACUGGGCGUAAAGGGUGCGUAGGCGGGUCUUUAAGUCAGGGGUGAAAUCCUGGAGCUCAACUCCAGAACUGCCUUUGAUACUGAAGAUCUUGAGUUCGGGAGAGGUGAGUGGAACUGCGAGUGUAGAGGUGAAAUUCGUAGAUAUUCGCAAGAACACCGGUGGCGAAGGCGGCCAUCUGGCUCGGUACUGACGCUCAGGCGCGAAAGCGUGGGGAGCAAACAGG